rnacentral:rRNA from 2 species
GCAUAUCAAUAAGCGGAGGAAAAGAAACCAACAGGGAUUGCCCCCAGUAACGGCGAAGUGAAGCGGCAACAGCUUCAAAUUUGAAAUCUGGCCCCCAGGGCCCGAGUUGUAAUUUGUAGAGGAUGCUUUUGGCGCGGUGCCUUCCGAGUUCCCUGGAACGGGACGCCAUAGAGGGUGAGAGCCCCGUCUGGUUGGACACCUAGCCUCUGUAAAGCUCCUUCGACGAGUCGAGUAGUUUGGGAAUGCUGCUCUAAAUGGGAGGUAUAUGUCUUCUAAAGCUAAAUACCGGCCAGAGACCGAUAGCGCACAAGUAGAGUGAUCGAAAGAUGAAAAGCACUUUGAAAAGAGGGUUAAAUAGUACGUGAAAUUGUUGAAAGGGAAGCGUUUGUGACCAGACUUGGGCCCGGUUGAUCAUCCACCGUUCUCGGUGGUGCACUCUGCCGGCCCAGGCCAGCAUCAGUUCGCGCCGGGGGAUAAAGGCUUCGGGAAUGUGGCUCCUCCGGGAGUGUUAUAGCCCGUUGUGUAAUACCCUGGUGCGGACUGAGGUUCGCGCUCCGCAAGGAUGCUGGCGUAAUGGUCAUCAGCGACCCGUCUUGAAACACGGACCAAGGAGUCGUCUUCGUAUGCGAGUGUUCGGGUGUCAAACCCCUACGCGUAAUGAAAGUGAACGCAGGUGAGAGCUUCGGCGCAUCAUCGACCGAUCCUGAUGUUCUCGGAUGGAUUUGAGUAAGAGCAUACGGGGCCGGACCCGAAAGAAGGUGAACUAUGCCUGUAUAGGGUGAAGCCAGAGGAAACUCUGGUGGAGGCUCGCAGCGGUUUCUGACGUGCAAAUCGAUCGUCAAAUAAUGGGCAUGGGGGGCGAAAGACUAAUCGAACCUUCUAGUAGCUGGUUUCCGUGA